rnacentral:misc_RNA from 1 species
GAUGAAGAACGCAGCGAAAUGCGAUACGUAAUGUGAAUUGCAGAUUUCAGUGAAUCAUCGAAUCUUUGAACGCACAUUGCGCCCGCCAGUAUUCUGGCGGGCAUGCCUGUUCGAGCGUCAUUUCAACCAUCAAGCCUUCGCUUGUGUUGGGGCCCCGCGGCUGCCGCGGUCCCCUAAAUCCAGUGGCGGGCUCGUCGUCGUACUGAGCGCAGUAGACAUCCUCGCUCCGGGAACCCGACGGGUGCCGGCCGUGAAACCCCCCACAUCAAGGUUGACCUCGGAUCAGGUAGGAAUACCCGCUGAACUUAAGCAUAUCAAUAAGCGGAGGA